ensembl:lncRNA
GCUGGGGAGCGGGGGGACACCGGGAGGGGACGGAACGGGCCGGGGCCUGCUCUUUGUCGCCGUUCGGGUCCCGUCGCUGUCCCCAAACCGCUCCCAGUGUCCCCAAACCGCUCCCGGUGUCCCCAGACCGAUCCUGGUGUCCCCAGAUUGAUCCCGGUGUCCCCAAACCUGUCCCGGUGUCCCCACAUCCCCCAUUCCCCUGAUGUCCCCGUGGUGUCCCCAACGUCCCUGGUGUCCCCAACGUUCCUGUGAUGUCCCCGUGGUGUCCCCAAUGUCCCCAGGAGUCUCCUGAACAAGCCCAAGAGCGAGGUGACCCCAGAGAUGGAUCCCUGUGUCCCCACAUCCCCUGACCCCGUGAUGUCCCCGGUGUCCCCGAGGCUCCCCUGAUGUCCCCGUGGUGUCCCCAAUGUCCCCAGGAGUCUCCUGAACAAGCCCAAGAGCGAGAUGACGCCCGAGGAGCUGCAGAAGCGCGAGGAGGAGGAGUUCAACACGGGCCCGCUGUCGGUGCUGACGCAGAGCGUGAAGAACAACACGCAGGUGCUCAUCAACUGCCGCAACAACAAAAAGCUCCUGGGGCGCGUCAAAGCGUUUGACAGGCACUGUAACAUGGUGCUGGAGAACGUCAAGGAGAUGUGGACCGAGGUGCCCAAGAGCGGCAAAGGGAAGAAGAAAUCCAAACCCGUCAACAAGGACCGGUACAUCUCCAAGAUGUUCCUGCGCGGAGACUCCGUCAUCGUGGUGCUCCGUAACCCCCUGAUCGCGGGGAAAUAACGGGGAAUUCCCAGCUGGAAACAUCCUGGAACAUCCCAGAACCUUCCGGAACAUCCCAGAACAUUCUGGAACAUCCCAGAGCAUCCCAGAGCAUCCCAGGCUCCGUCAUCGUGGUGCUGCGUAACCCCCUGAUCGCGGGGAAAUAACGGGGAAUUCCCGAUUGGAAACAUCCCAGAACCUUCCAGAACCUUCCAGAACCUCCUGGAACAUCCCAGAACCUUCCAGAGCAUCCCAGAGCAUCCCAGAGCAUCCCAGAACCUUCCAGAACCUUCCAGAGCAUCCCAGAACAUCCCAGACCAUCCCAGGCUCCAUCAUCAUUGGGAAUUCCCUGCUGGAAUCGGCCCUGGAACCUCCCAGAACCUUCCGGAACCUUCUGGAACCUCCCCACAGCAGCUCCGUCAUCGCUGGGGAGUUUGGGAUUCCUUGGGAAUCAUCCGUGGAACCUCCCAGAACCUCCUGGAACCUUCCGGAACCUCCCAGAACCUUCCAGAACCUCCCGGAACCUUCCAGAACCUUCCAGAACCUCCCAGAAGUUUCCAGAACCUUCCGGAACCUUCCAGCCCCCUCCGGCUCAUCCCACAUUUCCCCUCCCCCCUCGUUCCUGGCUGGAUUUUCGGGAAGGAGCCGAAUUUUGGGAUGGAGCAGGAAUUUUUGGGCUGGGAUUUUUGGGAUGGGAUUUUUGGGAUGGGAUUUUUGGGAUGGACAGAACAGGAUUUUUUGGGAUGGGACAGGAAUUUUUUGGGAUGGAUGGAACAGGAAUUUUUUGGGAUGGACAGAGUGGAAUUUCGGGGACCCCCCCCCCGUGCCAAUAAAAUCGGUUUCCACCCCUCCGUCUCCCCCUCCCCAAAUGACAGAAAACAGCCGAGACCCCUCCCCAAAACGGAGCAUCCAAAGGCUUUUAAUUCCCAAAAAUUCCCAAAAAAAACCCGGGAAAGGGG